rnacentral:rRNA from 1 species
AUUGAACGCUGGCGGCAGGCUUAACACAUGCAAGUCGAGCGAGUGGCGGACGGGUGAGUAAUGUCUGGGAAACUGCCUGAUGGAGGGGGAUAACUACUGGAAACGGUAGCUAAUACCGCAUACCAUCAGAUGUGCCCAGAUGGGAUUAGCUAGUAGGGGGGGUAAUGGCUCACCGAGGCGACGAUCCCUAGCUGGUCUGAGAGGAUGACCAGCCACCCUGGAACUGAGACACGGUCCAGACUCCUAGGGGAGGCAGCAGUGGGGAAUAUUGCACAAUGGGGGCAAGCCUGAUGCAGCCAUGCCGCGGGUGUGAAGAAGGCCUUCGGGUUGUAAAGUACUUUCAGCGAGGAGGCGUUACUCGCAGAAGAAGCACCGGCUAACUCCGUGCCAGCAGCCGCGGUAAUAC